rnacentral:rRNA from 1 species
GACGUAGGGGGCAAGCGUUGUUCGGAAUUAUUGGGCGUAAAGCGCUCGUAGGCGGGACUGGAAGUCCGUGUUGAAAGACCUCGGCUCAACUGAGGGACCGGCUCGGAUACUCUAGUUCUUGAGGCAAUCAGAGGGUGAUGGAAUUCCCGGUGUAGCGGAUGAAUGCGUAGAUAUCGGGAGGAACACCGGUGGCGAAGGCGGCGACCUGGACAGUAACUGACGCUGAGACGCGAAAGCGUGGGUAGCAAACAGG